ACAUUAUUAUUUUUUUACUUAAUAACUUAAGUAUACUGUUAGUGAAAUUACAACCUGCUUGUGACACAAUAAAUUUACAACAAAAUUCAUUCCAUAAAUUAUUCAAUUCACUGACUGCAACCAAGGAGAGAAAUAUCACCAUGAGCAGGUGAUUAGCAUGUGAAAGGAAGCCCAUCUCCAAACUGUCACCUCCAUUUGAAGCUGCCUGGUGGAGUUUUGUAAAAUUACCAUUAAGAAUACACAUUUAAGGCUUUGUGGCUUCCAUAAAAGCUAUAACUAUUUGAUUUACAUUAGAUUCAUUUGUUCUUUCUUCAGCUGUCUCCUUCUACAAACCAUAAACCACUUCAAUAAAUGCUCCCUCAAUCAAGUGUGCAUUAAAACAAAAGAAUUUAAGUUCCAUAAAAGUGAUGAAUCAGAAACCAGAAGUUAAAGUUUCCUCUUUACCUUCCUCACCUCUCUGCUGCAAUGAUUGGAAGUGAGAUAGGCUAAUGGGGGAGAGUGUUGCUUUUUUCAAGCAUCUGCUACAGGAAUACCAUGAACUGGCAACACGGAUUAGAUACCAAGAUCCUCUCUGUUGCUCUGUGGCACAAGCCCAAUCUUGAUAGCUCAGCACCUGCACAGGACGGUUCAAAUCAGCUGCUUCUUCAUGCAGUCCUUUGCAGUGUGCAAAUCAUUUUAUGCAACAUUCAUAGGGGGCUGUUUGACACUAUUUCUUCCUGUUUUCAAGGUGGGAAGCUGAGAAACAGGUCUCCCACUGAAAACUUCUUCACAGAAUCACAUAACUCUAGUGUGACCCCAAGGGUCAUCUAGUCCAAGCCCCUGCAAUGCAGGACUCACUAGAACAGGGUGCUUCCUGGCAAGUAUUCACCCUGAUUUGUUUGCAGGGAGGUUAGGUAAUGUUGCGUCAAGCAAGUGUUUUCCUCACAUGUCCCAGUACAUUUUCCUAUCAUAGGAAUAUAAGAACAGCCUGCUAGAUCAGGACAACAGCCAACUUUUCUGAUACUUUCCUUAUUGCAAAAAGUCUGAUUUUUGAGGGAAGAAGUGAGUUUGUUGUGCAAGACCUCCCAAUCAACUAUAGUUGCCCAACCUGAUCUAGGCCACUUCUCUGGGGCUGCAAAGGUAAAUGGCUCUGGAGACUGAACAGUAAAAAUAAGUUGCUGCUAUUUUCCUCAACUACAGACAACGGACGUCCUCUCUCAGACAGGAACAAUCCCGAGUUCUUUGGCUAUUAUACUUUUACUUUACUUUCUCCAGAGCUGUGGGUGUCAGGAAUCCACUGAGCUGCCGCCAUGUUUCCUUGCCCAGCAGGGCUGCCUUUCUUAAAAACAGACUCCGGGAACUUCAGGUAAACUCAGUCUGGAAACACUUUAUUUAAGUGCAGCAGACAGGGAGGCAGGCUUACUCCUUGGCUUCCAGGCCCACACGGACUUCCUCUUCCCACUCGCUCCUUCAGAAAAUAAUGUCCCUUUUCAGGUACUUCUCUUUGACCCGGGAACUAACAGUAUACACAUUUAUCUGCAUGCUUUUGGAUCCCUAUUUCACACAUAACCAUGCACUGAAAGGUGUGUAGGUUGGUGAGAAUCCUACCUUUUGCCACUCUUGAACCAGUCUGACUGGGGUACCAAGAAAUGUGUUUGCUUCCAAUUUUGCCGCAGCCAGAGCUGGUGGUGGCAGACAGAUUUUGUGUUGUUUCCAGAGCCAUUUUGAAGCCAUGGGUCCAGAUAAAGAGCCUUUGUUCUUGGCCCCUCAGCAAGCAGCUGUUUCCUGCAAGGGAGGCUCGCGGCCCAACGAGUGGCUGUCUCUCCACACGAGGGCUGGUUCCAGUUGACGGACAAAAUCUUUCACCUUCUUAGAUGUGUUCUUCGUCAACAUCCAGCUAUGCUUCCUAAUUCCUUCUCCGUAUCUGUUUUCAUUUGAACACAGCAGCUUACAUAAUUUAUAAGGAGAAUCAGAAAUAUGCAGAAAGAGAAGGAGCUGAAACCGAGAGGCCGGCUUGCUCCCCAGCCAAAGAGCAGCAUGGACUUCAAGGAGCUUAGGAUUUUCCCAUGGAUCAGAUUCCCUGGGAGGAGGACCUUGGGUCCUUCCAGGAGCAGCAGCAGGUCUGGCAGGUGGGCGAGGGUCAGCCGCAGUGGGCCUGUAUCACUUUCCUUGCAUGGCUUGGGGGUCUUGGCCCUGGGGGGUGGGGGGAGAAAGCCAGGCACUUACCAUGCACAGGCAAAGUACGGACAACAACAACAACUUGGCUGCUCUACCCUUGACCGUUCUUCCUGCUCAAGGCCUCAUCCUGCACUGACUGCCCCAACAAUGGGGGUGUUGGUGAAGACAGGGUCCCAUAGAAACCAGCCGUAAUACAGUUUCAAGAGUGCGGUGGGGGCAGAGUCACACCAUACAUCAAAAGCACAUGACAUCCCCUUCCCCUAAAGAAUCCUGGGAAUUGUAGUUUGGUAUGGAUACUGGGAAUUGUAACUGUGAGGGGGAAGCAGCAGCUCCCAGGAUUCUUUGGGGGAAGUCAUGUGCUUUAAAUGAAUGGUUUGGAUCUGCCAGGGGGCUGGGGUGUGUGGCGAUGAGCUGUCUAUCUGCUACUGAUUUGAAUUCAUUCAGAAGGCACAGGCCAAUCAGGGUGGAGCCCCUAUGCUAGUUAGUUGGCCUGUGCUCACUAGGAGGGGAGAUGUGACAGGAAGGUUGGUGUGGUGCAAAUGCUCCACCAAACUCUAGCUCACAUGGCCCUUAAAUGUAAAAUGUAUGAUGAUCUCCGCCAACCAUUUCUAGACCAUCUAUGUAUUCCAACAUGGAAACCAGAGACAGAGGUUACACGCUUCUUAUUACAGGGGAGAGACCAGGAGCUCACCAAGACAGUAGCUAAGUUCCUCUAUUUGAUUUUUUGUCGCCGAAGUACACUACAGGAUCCUGCCCUUGCUGGAGACCCACAGAGGUGAAAUAGAUUACUCGCCUCUUCUUCCCUUUGGCAAAUGACUGUACUGUUGAAAUGGCGACGAGAUCUCCCUGGCCUAUUUAUUCUGAAUGUUUGUAUGUGAUGCCAAUAAAGGUUUGAUGAUGAUGAUGAUGAUGAUGAUGAUGAUGAAAUGCUCCACCAAGACACCUGCACCAUUCCAACCAUCCCACCACCUUGCCCUUCCCCCCACCUCUCCCUGUAAGCAACCAAGAAGGUCCUGUGGUGGCUCUGCACCACCUAGGAGCAACUUCUGAAUCUGAGGUGUCAGUUCUGACAUAUAAAGCCCUAGACAGCUUAAGAGACAGCCAUAUGACGGAAUACCUUUCCCUGCACCAACCUAUGCAUGAUUUGAGAUCUGCCAAAGAGGCCCUUUUUGGUAGUAGUACCGUUGCCCUCCAAAGAAGCCUGGGCUCAUAAUAGGGUCUUCUCAGUGAUGGCACCCAGCUGUGGAAUUCUCUUCCCCCCCGAGGUUAGUUUUUGGCACCAGGUGAAAACAGUCUGACUUCUGAAUCUUCAGCAUUGGCUUAUGUACUGAGCGGGAUGACAGAUGAAGGGAUGUUGCAUGCAAAAAUGGAUUGUGAAUCUUAGAUGUUUCAAAUACUUUGUGGUUGUUUUUGCAUAGUUUUAUAUGUUGUGACUCAGUCUGCGGUUGAAUUAUGGUAAAAUACAGCAUAUAAAUUUUUACAGAAGAAUAAAUGAAAUCAAUUCUGAAUACCAUAAAUGCUGGGACAACUCUGAUACUCGCUUUUAAGGCAAAUGAUAGCCGACUCCUUAGUAAUUCUUUGAAUGCAGGGAGUGGAAAGUAAAAUAAUAUCACCCUUUUAAAGCUCUAAAGGGGAAUCAGCACCUCAUGCUCAGUCAGUAGGCAAAGCCCGUCUGUUGUAAGAGCACAGCAAGUGACAUAUAGCGCCUAAUAAUUUCCAUAUAUGAACAUGAUUUCGUUCCAAGGCAGGGAAGUGGGGGGCGGGGUUGAGAAGUUACCUUUAUUCUGCCCAAAUUAAUAAAAGAAGAGCUUGGCUUGGUUUUAUCCUGCUUCUACCUCUGAUCAUUUAUCAUGCAAAUGAAAAGCUGUAAUGGAAAAUGUAAAGAAAACAAAUUUUGCAAUAUAUUGAAACCUCUAUCCAGUGAGAGAUAAGAUUGAAUAUUAGAAGGAAGGGUGCAGAAAAUUAGCUGUCUGUACAAUAACUGGGAGGGGAAGCUGUUUUAUUUAGCCUGGAGGGAUUUUGGUUGCAAACCGACUAAAUUAAAAUCCAGUCUAUUAAAUCCAGGAUCAUACUAGAAAAUGCCUUCUCUUUGCACUUUUAGAUAAAUUUUCAUUGAUCUCAUUUUACGCAUGAUUACAUUUUUAAUGAGUUGUGCAAUAUUUCCAAGCUAAUUUUAAAUCCCUUCUCUCUCUCUCUCUCUCUCUCUCUGUCUUGCACACCCUACCCCACUUCAUACUUACUGCCCGCUGGAUUAACAUUUCUGAUAAAUUGUUGGACCAGAAAGAAGGCGCAUUACCAGGAUGAAAUAAAUUACUUCCAGUUUUGCAGCUACGGAGUGAUAAUGUGAGAAUACAAAUGUCCAGCGUCUAAUUAUGCCAUCUUCCAAUUCAUUUCACAAAACAAUCUCCCCCCCCCUCACAUUGUCUAUUAUAAAUAACCCCUGAACAAUAUGCAUAAGUGGGGGGGGGGGCGAGGGAGGGACAAUUCCUUGCCCCAGGACUGGCCAUGCAGAGUCAGUGUUCCCAUUUUGUAAGUUCGAAUCUAUCUAUCUAAAGAAAGAAAAAGAAAAAUGUGGGUAAGGAAGAGCUGAGGUGUGAUCACUUUUCCUACAUAAGGCAACAUAUCCAGAAAAUACCGGUAAAUUAGCUGUCCAGUUUUCAAUAACAUCUCAAAUUACAGGUAAAUAAAAAAAUAAUUCCAAUUUUACACUCUCAGGCCACAACCCCAGAAAAUAAAGUUGACAAACCAUGCUUUAACGUUAGAUUGGAUCAUGUACUGAUUUCAGCAUCAGAUGCCAGGGAAUUUAGAUGCCAAUAAUGCCUGAAAGAUGGUUUCCCCUGCGCUGCACAAUCAGCAAAGGACCGAGUGAGAGUCAUCCCAUUUCAGGUUCAUCACAUCAUAGACACAAAUAAUCAUGAAUACACAAUAGAAAGAAUUGGGGGGGAGAGAGAGAGACUUGUAUGUUAUGUUCAGUAUUUCCUGGCCAGCUCCUGAGCUGCUAUCCUGACCUCUCCCUAGUCAUGCUACUUAUGCACACUGAUGAACACAACUGUGGAAAGCAGGUUCACAACUGCUGGGGCAGCUGCCAACCCUUUAUAGGGUUACCUAAGGCAGAAGUGAGGGGUGAUCCCACCUGCUGACACUGGAGCUCAACUCUUUUUGGCCAUUUGUGCGGACUGAAGCAUUGAUUCCUUCAGACAGCCUUGCCUUUCAGCAAGGGCAUAUGCCAUACCCAGGGCGGGAGAUGGAUCCUAAAAAAGAAUUAUUAGCAACUUCUUUCUGUUCUUUCUUAAGGAUCCUCCGCUCCUCCCACAACCCCUGACUUUACACAAUAACUACAUGCAAAAAAUGAGGAAACCCUUCAGCAACCCAACAGUCAUUGCUUAAAGUCAAAACAAUGUCUAGUGGGGUGAAGAAAAAAGAAAAGGGGGGAAUUCUUUCACCUUCAUCCUGGAGAGCCCUCAAUGUUAACAUUUGCUUAGGGUAGGAGUAGGGAGAGUGCUUUAACAAAAGACAGGCCAAGAAAGAGCACUAACCCAAAUGCACACAGGUAGAAAUAUUUUCAAGUCAUUCAGGUAGCAUGAAGACUCAAAGGCUGGGCAGGCACAGAGGAUAUUUUGGUCACAGUGUUGCAAGUGGGCUGUGAGAGUCAUCACACAAGGUUGGCACACUUGUUUGCAUCCUCUUCAGCCCUCAUUACUCAAUCAGUCAAUUUGUCAUUUGUACCCUUACAGCAGCU